rnacentral:piRNA from 1 species
UGUUGAUGACGUGUGUGCAAAGCAGG